rnacentral:lncRNA from 1 species
ACGUAUCAAGCUAUGAGAGGUCGAAGAAGAGAAAAAAAGGGCCAAAAAACCAAACGAUGGUUCACUCAUUUCUUGUGUAUCUCUCUCUCUCUUUUCACCUGAUGGCUCUCUAUGGCGAUGAAGAAGACGAACAGUAAGCAUCCUCCUAUCUGUCACCUUAUCCGUCUUCCAACCGACGAGCCGGUCUUAUCUCACCAUCUCCGUUGACGUGGAUGUCCACGGCGACGAGGAGGAGGUGAAAUCGGCGAUGAGGAGCGAGAAGAAGGAGAUUACAUCAGCCGAAGAUCUUCGAUUUUAGCUCAAAUCAUGCUUUAUAUUAUUUAUGUUAUAAAUUGUAUCUUACGUAUGUUUUAAAAAAUUUAACUUGCAAUAAUUAUUAUGUUAUAUAAAAUUAAAAAUUUCCAAUAAGUUUAAAUUUUAAUUAAA